GAUGAACGCUGGCGGCGUGCCUAAUACAUGCAAGUCGAGCGAACAGACGAGGAGCUUGCUCCUCUGACGUUAGCGGCGGACGGGUGAGUAACACGUGGAUAACCUACCUAUAAGACUGGGAUAACUUCGGGAAACCGGAGCUAAUACCGGAUAAUAUAUUGAACCGCAUGGUUCAAUAGUGAAAGACGGUUUUGCUGUCACUUAUAGAUGGAUCCGCGCCGCAUUAGCUAGUUGGUAAGGUAACGGCUUACCAAGGCAACGAUGCGUAGCCGACCUGAGAGGGUGAUCGGCCACACUGGAACUGAGACACGGUCCAGACUCCUACGGGAGGCAGCAGUAGGGAAUCUUACGCAAUGGGCGAAAGCAUGACGGAGCAACGCCGCGUGAGUGAUGAAGGUCUUCGGAUCGUAAAACUCUGUUAUUAGGGAAGAACAAAUGUGUAAGUAACUAUGCACGUCUUGACGGUACCUAAUCAGAAAGCCACGGCUAACUACGUG
rnacentral:rRNA from 1 species